rnacentral:rRNA from 1 species
AUUGAACGCUGGCGGCAGGCCUAACACAUGCAAGUCGCACGAGUGGGGACGGGUGAGUAACACGUGGGUAACCUCCCAUCAGAGGGGAUAACACUUGGAAACAGGUGCUAAACCGAUAUUGAUGGAUGGACCCGCGGUGCAUUAGCUAGUUGGUGAGGUAACGGCUCACCAACGCCACGAUGCAUAGCCGACCUGAGAGGGUGAGCGGCCCCACUGGGACUGAGACACGGCCCCGACUCCUACGGGAGGCAGCAGGAGGGAAUCUUCGGCAAUUGACGAAAGUCUGACCGAGCAACGCCGCGUGAGUGAAGAAGGUUUUCGGAUCGUAAAACUCUGUUGUUAGAGAAGCGGUAUCUACCCAGAAAGCCACGGCUAACUACGUGCCAGCAGCCGCGGUAAUUC